ACGUACACUCCUGCGGGAGGCAGCAGUGGGGAAUAUUGGACAAUGGGCGAAAGCCUGAUCCAGCAAUGCCGCGUGAGUGAUGAAGGCCUUAGGGUUGUAAAGCUCUUUUACCCGGGAUGAUAAUGACAGUACCGGGAGAAUAAGCCCCGGCUAACUCCGUGCCAGCAGCCGCGGUAAUACGGAGGGGGCUAGCGUUGUUCGGAAUUACUGGGCGUAAAGCGCGCGUAGGCGGCUUUGUAAGUUAGAGGUGAAAGCCCGGAGCUCAACUUCGGAAUUGCCUUUAAGACUGCAUCGCUAGAAUCGUGGAGAGGUGAGUGGAAUUCCGAGUGUAGAGGUGAAAUUCGUAGAUAUUCGGAAGAACACCAGUGGCGAAGGCGACUCACUGGACACGUAUUGACGCUGAGGUGCGAAAGCGUGGGGAGCAAACAGGAUUAGAAACCCGUGUAGUCCCA
rnacentral:rRNA from 1 species